AGCGAACGCUGGCGGCAGGCCUAACACAUGCAGGUCGAACGAAGUCUUCGGACUUAGUGGCGGACGGGUGAGUAACACGUGGGAACGUACCUUUUGGUUCGGAACAACUCAGGGAAACUUGAGCUAAUACCGGAUGAGCCCUUAGGGGGAAAGAUUUAUCGCCGAAAGAGCGGCCCGCGUUAGAUUAGCUAGUUGGUGAGGUAAAGGCUCACCAAGGCUACGAUCUAUAGCUGGUCUGAGAGGAUGAUCAGCCACACUGGGACUGAGACACGGCCCAGACUCCUACGGGAGGCAGCAGUGGGGAAUCGUACGCAAUGGGCGAAAGCCCGACGCAGCCAUGCCGCGUGAAUGAUGAAGGUCUUAGGAUUGUAAAAUUCUUUUACCAGGGACGAUAAGGACGGUACCUGGAGAAAAAGCCCCGGCUAACUUCGUGCCAGCCGCCGCAGUAAAAC
rnacentral:rRNA from 1 species